UAUAGCCCGGACACUAACGAAAUCGCCAAACCGUCCGAGCUUUUGGUUAGCGUCCGCGCCUACAU